GGCGUCACUACUUGCGAUUAGCUUCCCUGUUGUUGGGGCUACGUGGGAACUAUCAUCUGGAGACGCUGUUGCUUUGUUUUGGAGCUGAGUGCCUAAGGCAGGGGCGGAUUCCUGGUGUUGGGUGUUCCUUUCACGAGUGCUGGCUGGAGUGGUUGUGUGUGUGUGUCACAGGUAUAAGUGAAGGGUGUUUUGCUGUAUAGGCCGAUUGUGCCCUUAUGCCCUGCCUCAGUUCCUGUACCUUGAUCCUUGGAUGUCCUUGACGACCCAGGUUGCCCACUGUUGUAUUUUGUGAAGUGUGUAAUUGAGUUUGUUAUAUGUGAACUGUUGCGUUUAGUGAUUGCUCUUCUACCUCCCUCUGUUAUGUAAUAAACCCUUUUUUAAUUGUAAUAAAAAUUAGUUUGUAUAUCUA